rnacentral:sRNA from 1 species
AAAAAAUUAGCGAUACCAAUUAUAAAUUGUUAUUACCAAAUAUUAUAAAAAUUUACCCCAUUUUUUACAUAUUAUUAUUGGAACCAGCAUUAUACGGUAUUAAUAUAUAAAAAACAAUUAAAAUCGACGUAUAAAAAACCUACGAAAUAAAACGAAUAUUCGAUUACAAAUGUAAUUACGGUAAAAUAAAAUAUUUUGUUAAAUGGGAAAAUUAUGGGUAUAAAAAAAAUAUUUGGAAACCUUUUAAUUAUUUCCAAAAUUGCCAGGAAUUAUUCCGCUAAUAUUACCAAAAAUUGGAUUUGCGAACAAAUUAAUUAAAGAAAAAAGGACGAUUUAAAAAAACACCACUUAUUAUUUUUAGAAAUUAAACCUGCAAAAACCCAAUUUUGCGAAUCGGUACCCAAUACCGAAAACCAAUUGACAAUAUCGACGUAAUUUAAAAAGCGCAGUUCCGGGACCAGGCCCGAUUUAAAAGGAUUAUUAAAAGGCAAUUCGUCGAUACCCAAACGAUCCUUUUUUACAACGUCCUUUUAAUUUAAUUUAAUAUCCAGGCGGGAAACCUCGAUUUUAUUUUUAAAUUAAAACAAACGUUUUUGUUUUUUUAAACGAAAUAAACGAUUAAAAACGGCAGUGGAAAUACGUUAAAAACGAAAAAUUUUAUCCUCCAUUUUAAAUUUUUAUAAUUCCAAUUUUUUUUUUUAUAAAUUAAACGAUUUUUGGAAAAUAGGGUUAAUAAAAGGAUACCAGGCAAAUUAUUUUAUUUGGGAAAUGCGCAUAUAAAUUAGAAACCGGAACCGCCAAAAUAUUAUAUUUGCGACCACGACGAAUAUAUUCGUUAUAACGGAAAUUUGUCGCGAUUAUUCGAUACGACAAAUCCCGGGAAAAAUAAAAAACGCAAAAUAUAAUUUCGAAAUUUUUAAAUGCAAUAUUAUUAACCAAACGUUUACGACGCAAAAUAAAAAAAAAGCCGAUCGACGCGACCCCGAUUAAUGCGGUUGGAUAUUUCGCUAUUUAAAAUUAAAAAAGGAAAAAAAAUAUUAAAAUAAACCAGCAGGGGAAUAAUUUAUUUAUACGGCCACGGGAUUUGGUUUUGGGAAAGGAAACCUAAUAUUACGACCAGGAUUAAUACCGAUACAAUUGGGCAAAAACGAAAAAAAUGUCGGGAACCCAAGCCAAAAUUACCAAAAAAUAUAAACCAAGGAUAGAAAAUGGAAAUACGAAAUUACGUAAAAAUAAAAUAAGAAACCCUAACCCGAUUAUUAAAAGGAAAUAAUUAUAUAGGUAAAACGAUUACCACCCCCGAAUAAUUAUUAUCAUGGAAUAAUUAUUUGUAAAAAAUAAUUAUUGGUUUAUAUAAAAUACGUUUAUUAUUAUAUAAAUAAAAUUUAGUUUAGGAUUGUUUAGCAGCAAUUAAUUUACUAUUUACCCAGGAAUCGAUUAUAAUUUCACCCCAGUUAUUAAAAAUUCCCAAUUACCCAAUUAAACGUUUAAUUGUUUUAACCCACUGUAUUUUAUUAUAAGAA